ensembl:snRNA U6 U6 spliceosomal RNA
AUGCUUGCUUCGGCAGCACAUACACUAAUUUUGGAAUGAUACAGAGAUUAGCCUGCCCCUGCACAGGAUGACACACAAAUUCAUGAAGUGUUCCAUAAAAAG